rnacentral:lncRNA from 1 species
ACCUAAACUAACUCAGAUUCCUUUCCAUGUAACAACCAAUUAGGAUUAGAUCCUAUCCGAUUGUAACUCUAGGUUGUCAGCCCAUAUAAGGUGGCAAGGGGCACGCCCCGAGUGUGACUGAUCCCACCCCAUGUUAACUCUUCGCACCUACGAUCAGCAAUACAAUCCACCAGAACACAGGACGUAGGGUAUUACUCUCCGGAGGUCCGGACCUAUCUAAACCUUGCGUCUCUGUGUUACCAUUCGAGUUCUUAGUCUUACAAUCUCU